rnacentral:rRNA from 1 species
UGGGGAAUCUUGCGCAAUGGGCGAAAGCCUGACGCAGCGACGCCGCGUGAGUGAUGAAGGCCUUCGGGUUGUAAAGCUCUGUGGAGGGGGACGAAUAAGGGCCGGCGAACACCCGGCUCGAUGACGGUACCCCUUUAGCAAGCACCGGCUAACUCUGUGCCAGCAGCCGCGGUAAGACAGAGGGUGCAAACGUUGUUCGGAAUUACUGGGCGUAAAGCGCGUGUAGGCGGUUCGGAAAGUCGGGUGUGAAAGCCCUGGGCUCAACCCAGGAAGUGCACACGAAACUCCCGAGCUAGAGUCCUGGAGAGGAAGGCGGAAUUCUCGGUGUAGAGGUGAAAUUCGUAGAUAUCGAGAGGAACAUCGGUGGCGAAGGCGGCCUUCUGGACAGCGACUGACGCUGAGACGCGAAAGCGUGGGGAGCAAACAGGAUUAGAUACCCUGGUAGUCCACGCCGUAAACGAUGGGUGCUAGGUGCUGCGGGCUUUGACCCUGCGGUGCCGUA